rnacentral:lncRNA from 1 species
AUUUGGUUAGGAUUUGAUUUAGAGUUAGGAUUUGGUUAGGGUUUGAUUUAGGGAUUAGGGUUUGGUUAGGAUUUGAUUUAGGAUUUAGGAUUAGGCUUAGAAUUUGAUUAGGAUUUGAUUUAGGAUUAGAAUUUAGUUAAAAUUUGAUUAGGAUUUGAUUUAGGAUUAGGAUUUGGUUUAGAGUUUAGAGUUUUGUCAGGGUUUGAUUUAGGAUUAGGAUUUGAUUAAGAUUAAGUUUAAGAUUUAAUUAAGAUUUGAUUUAGGAUUUAGGAUUUAGUUUAGGGUUGAUUAGGAUUUGAUUUAGGAUUAGGAUUUGGUUAGGAUUUGGUUAGGGUUUGAUUUAGGAUUAGGAUUUGGUUUAGGAUUUAAAAUUUGGUUAGGAUUUAAGAUUUGGUUAAGAUUUGAUUUAGGAUUAGGAUUUGGUUUAGAAUUUAGGGUUUGGUUAAGGUUUGAUUUAAGAUUAGGAUUUGGUUUAGGAUUUAGGAUUUGAUUAGGGUUUUAUUUAGGAUUUAGGAUUUCAUUUAAGAUUUAGGGUUUAGUUUAGGAUUUAAGAUUUGGUUAGGAUUUGAUCAAGAUUUGAUUUAGGGUUUAGGAUUUUAUUUGAUUUUAUUUAGUAUUUAAGAUUUAAUUAAUUUUUGGCCUAAAGUUUGAAUGAAGUCCAAUAAGAUUUCAACUAAGAUUAAAUUAAUAUUGAAUUGAGAUGUAUUAGAGAUAUGUUUGUAAUUAUUCUAAUAUUUUUUUAAGUUUUCUUAUUAUUUCUUUGGAAUUCCUUUGAGGUUUCUUUGAAUUUGAAUGAAGCUUGUUUAGCAUUAUUAGUUUUUUAUUAGAAUUAGGAUUUUUUUGUUGCAAUUUCCAUUCUACCUUCCACAACCAGGUGAUUGGAGCAUUCUCAAGCAAGACUUCACGUAUUAUGAUACCGCAUUAUUGGACAAGAUAUUCUAAUUUAUUUUGGCACCGCCUUGAGUCCAAAAUUUUGUCUACUUUAAAAUAUUCAUUAUUCUCUACUUCUAUAAGAAGAGGUGGGACUUGACUUUUCAUUAGUAUGUUCACAAUUUUAUAUGGUUUAAGAAGAGACAUGUAGAAGAUAGGAUGGAUCUUCAUUGACUUUGAUAGAUGUA